ACCCGAGGCCCCGCUCGCACGGAUCCGAGUGACUGAUUACCGUGGGCUCGGUUCCGGUUCCCUCCUCAGAAUUACCAAGCCGGGCUUGAACUCCCUGUUUCCUCCCUGGCCUCCCCUCCGGGACCGGAUAGCUAGCCUGGCCUCUCCGUCCGAGCACCGGGUUCCCGCCUCCUCAAGAGCCCCUAGGACCUACCAACCUCACCCCCGGCCAAGGAUCAGUCGUCUGCGCCUGCGCACUCCCGCGUGGGCCGGAGCUCCCAGGAGUCCACGGGGCGGCGCGUUAGUAGCCUAACUGUGCAUGCUACCGGCUCUGGGGGCUGUUUGUGUUAACGUCCGCGCUUUUCCAGAGUGGACUACGUUUCUCACAGAUAAGGCAGAGCUUCAUUUUUGCAGUUCUGGUGCUGAGGAAUCUGUGGACAAGAUCCCCGUGUGACUCAGUCUGUGCCUGUGAAAGGCCUCGAGGCCAUAGUUAACCACAAGGGACCCCCUGUUCUGAAGGAUGGCCUUUGUUGCCUUCAUCAGUGCACGCUGAUACAGUAUAACUUCAUCUUAAAUGCCUGCCAAAUAGUGACUUACACAUUUACCUGGUCUCUAGGUCUUCUCUUCCCAGUUAAUGAUGGUACCAUGAGGAUGGAUCUCCUUUCCCAGUUCCUCAUCAAAUGCUGUUUCUACAGUUAAUUUUCAUAUAGACACUUGCCAACACUUCCCCUUGUAUGCUUUUUGUUGUGUUCUCAUCAUGCAGACAUAGUCCCUUUUUAUUUUACACAGUGAUUUGUUAAGGAGGAGACCAAUAUUUAGGUAGAAUUAUACAUUUGAUACGUUAGAUAUUCUCCAGACACAUGAGUGGAAAAAUGGCAAGGUGGAUAGUUUGAUUGAUUUCAGUGUACUAUAUAAUGGUCUCUGAGUCUUGAGCAGGGGUCAGCCGACUUUGACCCAGUAGGCAAAAUCCAGCUUGUGUCCUGUUUUUUUGGGUCUGUGAACUAAGUCUGGUUUUAACAUUUCUCAAUAAUUAAAAAAUAUCAGAAGGAGAGCCAUAUUUCAUGACAUGUGAAAAUUAUAUGAAUUUCAAAUUUUGAUGUCUACAAAUAAAGUUUUGAAUUUGGUCAGU